rnacentral:misc_RNA from 1 species
GAUGAAGAACGCAGCGAAAUGCGAUACGUAAUGUGAAUUGCAGAAUUCAGUGAAUCAUCGAGUCUUUGAACGCACAUUGCGCCCGCCAGUAUUCUGGCGGGCAUGCCUGUUCGAGCGUCAUUACAACCCUCAGGCCCCCGGGCCUGGCGUUGGGGAUCGGCGGAGCCCCCCGUGGGCACACGCCGUCCCCCAAAUACAGUGGCGGUCCCGCCGCAGCUUCCAUCGCGUAGUAGCUAACACCUCGCGACUGGAGAGCGGCGCGGCCACGCCGUAAAACACCCAACUCUUCUGAAGUUGACCUCGAAUCAGGUAGGAAUACCCGCUGAACUUAAGCAUAUCAAUAAGCGGAGGA